UAAUAUUAUUUUUUGUUACAGCAUCACAUCUCUUCAAGGUACUGUUUGACUUAUUCACAUUACUCAUUGAACAGAAUUGGUAACAGAUCUCGAUCCACAUGUGAUGGCACUGGGAAACACAGUCUAGCAGGAGUCCAAAGGAAGGAGAAAAACAGAGACAAGACUGUCAACUACGCAUCUCAGUGUCCAGUCAUCCAGUGGUCUCUCCAUCACGUCAGGAGACAGGGCCACACUCUGUCACCCAGGCUGGAGUGCAGUGAUUCAGUCACAGCUCCCUGUAGCCCCAAACUUCUGGCUCAAGCGAUCAUCCCACUUCAACCUCUCAGAUAGUGGGGGCUACAGAUGUGUAUCACUAUGCUUGGGUAAUUAUUAAACAUUUUUUGUAGAGAUAGGGUCUUGCCAUGUUGCCGAGGCUGGUCCCAAACCUCCUGCCUCCUGAAGUACUGGGAUUACAAGUGUGAGCCACCAUGCCUGGCCUUUUACAGGAUGAGGGUGGGUGGGGGAGGUGAGGGAUAAAAAACUAUAUAUUUGGUAUAGUAUACACUACUUGGAUGAUGGGUUCCCUGAAAUCUCAGAAUUCACCACUAUAUAAUUCAUCCAUGUAACCAAAAACUACUUGUAUCCCCAAAGCUACUGAAAUAAAAAAUAUUAGG